rnacentral:rRNA from 1 species
GACAGAGGGUGCAAACGUUAUUCGGAAUCACUGGGCUUAAAGCGCGUGUAGGCGGAUGGGGACGUCGGUAGCUGAAAUCCCCCGGCUCAACCGGGGAAGUGGCGCCGAAACGCCCCGUCUGGAGGGACGUAGGGGGACCUGGAACUUCCGGUGGAGCGGUGAAAUGCGUUGAGAUCGGAAGGAACGCCCGUGGCGAAAGCGAGGUCCUGGACGUUUUCUGACGCUGAGACGCGAAAGCUAGGGUAGCGAACGGG